UGGCCAAUGGGGGGAUUGAACCCACAACCCUCGCGUUAUUAGCACGACGCUCUAACCAGCGGAGCUAACGGGCC